CAGUCGCCGCGGGAAUACGUAGGUCCCGAGCGUUGUCCGGAUUUAUUGGGCGUAAAGCGAGCGCAGGCGGUUAGAUAAGUCUGAAGUUAAAGGCUGUGGCUUAACCAUAGUACGCUUUGGAAACUGUUUAACUUGAGUGCAAGAGGGGAGAGUGGAAUUCCAUGUGUAGCGAUGAAAUGCGUAGAUAUAUGGAGGAACACCGGUGGCGAAAGCGGCUCUCUGGCUUGUAACUGACGCUGAGGCUCGAAAGCGUGGGGAGCAAACAGGAUUAGAUACCCCUGUAGUCCCUGUCUCUUAUACA
rnacentral:rRNA from 1 species